rnacentral:sRNA from 2 species
AUGUCCCCCCCGCACACUCCGGUUCCUCCGCGCCGGCCGCACCCACCUGACGGCUGCUCGCUACGUCUUGUUAACC